UGAGGAAUAUUGGUCAAUGGACGCAAGUCUGAACCAGCCAUGCCGCGUGCAGGAUGACGGCUCUAUGAGUUGUAAACUGCUUUUGUACGAGGGUAAACCCCGAUACGUGUAUCGGGCUGAAAGUAUCGUACGAAUAAGGACCGGCUAACUCCGUGCCAGCAGCCGCGGUAAUACGGAGGGUCCAAGCGUUAUCCGGAUUUAUUGGGUUUAAAGGGUGCGUAGGCGGUUUGAUAAGUUAGAGGUGAAAGCCCGAUGCUCAACAUCGGAACUGCCUCUAAUACUGUUGGACUGGAGAGUGGUUGCUGUUGGCGGAAUGUGUUGUGUAGCGGUGAAAUGCUUAGAUAUGACACAGAACACCGAUUGCGAAGGCAGCUGACAAAGCCAUUUCUGACGUUGAGGCACGAAAGCGUGGGGAGCAAACAGGAUUAGAUACCCUGGUAGUCCACGCCGUAAACUAUGAUAGCUCGUUGCCGGCGAUACACAGUCGGUGACUUAGAGAAAUCGUUAAGCUAUCCACCUGGGGAGUACGUUCGCAAGAAUG
rnacentral:rRNA from 1 species